UGAAACUAAGGCUUACAGGGCCAGUGAGUGCUGGAGUUAUGAUUAUGAGCAGAUAGAUUCUGGUGUCAUAUAUUGAGUGUAGCUUUAUUCACCAUUGUAUGCCUGGAAUACAGUAGAUGUGACAGGCAGGAGAGUGAGGUGAAGCCACACAAGAAGAAGGGAGCAGCCAACUCACAGAAGGUCUUUUAUGUGCCUCUAAGGUAUGUGAACAUUCCAGAAGCCUUCAUAGCCACUUCAGCUCACUGCGAUGCUUCCUCUUCUGUAACAUGCUGCUUACCACUGGCAGUUCUGGAAGCUGUGAAGCCUGCAAUCAAGGUGCCUGCAGAUUUUGUGUCUGGCAAUGACCUGUUUUUUGGUUCAUAAAAGGACCUUCUGUGGUGUCCUCCCAUGGUGGAAGGGGGCAUCUUGAAGAUUCCAGUUCUGAGAAUAUUGGGGCAUCUGACUUGGAAAUCAAAUGAGGACUGCGUGGAGGGAAAAGCUUCAGGUCACUGCAGUUCAUGAGCAGAGGAAUGUUCUUCUAGGAACUUGCUCCUCAUCAGAUUUCCUGGUUUAUUUCUCAACCAAACCUAAAGCCUGAGGCAAAGAACAAAUUCUCUUUUCUCAGAAAAACAUUCCCUGCAUUAAAGCCUAAAAAAACAAAACACAAGAUAUAAUAAGCAAGCCCUGGAUGCAUCAUUAACGAGGUCUCUUAUACAAGAGAUGUUGAUGGGGAUGGCAGAGAACCAGCACCCCCAGAAGCACAAGGCUUGUUGCAAAAACCUCACAAGCUCUUUGCAAGCAAAAGUGCAAUUUCAGCAGUACUGCACUUGACCUCACGGGGCUGGUGGGUAAUUACACAGCCCUGGGGAUCUGCUUCCACUGAUAAAGAAGAAUCCAGCUGCAUCAAGAGCAGAUGCGUGGUUUAUUGCAGUGGCUAUAAAGUGACGAGUCGUCUAACAAAAACCAAUCCAAUUACCUGAGCGUAGCAUCUCAUAAAACAAAGGCCAAGAAAAAUACUGGACCAGGAGCACUGAGCUCAAUCUAUUGCAGCUUGAACUGUAUUGCCCAAAAGAGACAAGCUCAAGCCCUAACCCUGGUGCUCGUGAAUGUGACCUUAUCUGGAAAUAAAUAGGGUCUUUGCAAACGUCAUCAAAUUAUAAUAAGGUGAGAUCAUAUUUGAUCAGGAUGGACCCUAACCCAGUGGCUGGUGUCCCCACCGGAGGGAAAUUUGGAUGCAGAGACAUAGAGAAGACCCACAGGACAAGGCCAUGUGACGACAGAGACCAAGACAGAAGUGAUGCAGCUACAAGCUGAGGACUCCGAAGAUGGCAGCCACCAGCGGAAACCAGGGAGCGGGGAGCAAGGAUCCACCGUGGAGCUUCAGGGGGAAACCAACAUCUCAAUUUUGGACUUCCAGCCCCCAGAAAUGUGAAGAAGUACACUUCUUUUCAGUCCUCAGAACUGUGAUAAUCUGCCUGGGGAGUCUAGGAAUUACUUUAUCUCAGUGCCAGCAGCCUACCGCCUUUGUGAUUGGGCCAAACAGGGCCUCAUCAGGCCCGGGCCUCAGGUCCAGAGCUGAGGCAGGUUGGACUAGGCUGGAGGUCACAGGUUAUGGGAAGGUUAGAGUUGGCACAUCCCCUUGGGAAAAGCCAAGCGAGGAAGUGCAAGAAUUCACACCCCAGUGCCCAGAGAUGUGGCUGCCGGGCAGUACUUCUGGAUUUAUGAGUGAGAAACCCAGGUUCCUGGUGAUGAAAUUCUCAGCUUUGGUUACACAGUAAGUUGCAAAGCUGGGGGGAGCCUUUUGGCCCCCCUCUCCAUCACAGGUAGGGUGCCUAUUCUAUUUGGCCACAGCAUGAAGAAUGAGGAGUGCAAAACACUGUCAUGUGCUGGAGCCAAGAAGCCUGCUGCAAAGGGCGGGGUGUGUGUGUGUGUGUUGGAGAAGUAUAGCAGCAAGCAGCAAUAAAUCAUCUCCCCCUGAGUCAGCACCAGAAAUACAGGGAGGGAGAUUUUCUCAUGGUCUGAUUGGUGAGUUCACUGUGGCUUAAGAACAGACCCUGGUGUCCCAUUAAUUUUAACACCAACACAGUUUGGAGGGAUUUACGGCCAAGAAGUUACAGCUUGGCCUGGCCGUGUUCCGGAGGCAAGGGCCAUGUGUUUCAUUUUCCUGACUGCUGACUUUCCUUUUACUCUCCUUCCCUGAAAACAUAAAUAAAGGUGAGACAUUGAAAAAUGUU